UACAGAGGUGGCAAGCGUUGUUCGGAAUUACUGGGCGUAAAGGGCGCGUAGGCGGCCCACUAAGUCAGACGUGAAAUCCCCCGGCUUAACCUGGGAACUGCGUCUGAUACUGGAGGGCUUGAGUAUGGGAGAGGGAUGUAGAAUUCCAGGUGUAGCGGUGAAAUGCGUAGAUAUCUGGAGGAAUACCGGUGGCGAAGGCGGCAUCCUGGACCAUUACUGACGCUGAUGCGCGAAAGCUAGGGGAGCAAAC
rnacentral:rRNA from 1 species